GAAACCAAACCUGCUAUGCUUUGUCUAGGCUCCCAAGCUAUCCUUUGAAAUAUCAGUGGAAGCCUCCAAGACCCCUAACUCCAGCUUCCUGCAGUCCUGCAGAACUGGCACCAUUUGGUGGAUGCGCAGGUCUGCCACAAUCUAAACAGUAGCCAAGCUUCCUGCAGCAACCUCUGAGCAUUGCUGAAUAUAGUGAAACAUCUUCCUAGGUGCCCCUGUGCAAACAGGGGCCUCAUACUCUCUUCUCAAAGGCAUUUUAAAUUUUACAUCCUUGAUCCUGAGAUGGGUGUGGUCUUGCCAUUUUCUGAGGUGCCCUGAAGCCAUAUUUUCUAUUGUCUGUUUCUAUUGUAUAUUUCUGUUGUCACCAUUUCUUUAGUGGCUUUAAUAUCUCUAACAACCACACCUUCCUUAGCCAGAGUUUGAUUCCCAUUUUUCUUGCCAAACUGCAAGUUUUCAAAUCUUCCUGCUCUGCUUUCUGCUCCUGAGUAUCAUGGUAAACUUGGCUAACAGCCUCUAGCAGUAUCCAUGCCAUACUGCCUGAAUGCUGUGCUACUUUGAGAUUUCCUCUACCAGAGUCAUUAGUUCUUCACCUUUAAAUUCAAUCUCAGGAAAGUCUCAGCACAUGGGCAAAAUGGAAACAACAUCUUUGCCACAUAUAACAUGAAUGACCUCUAGUCCAAUUUCCAAUAAAGUUCUACUUCUCCUCUGCAAUCUCAUGAGCUCAGUCUUUGCUGUCCAUUUGCAUUUUGGUCUUCUGAACUCCACCAGAAUCACCCAUCAAGGCCCACUUGCAACUAAAACUUUUCCAACUUGUACCUCUAAACUUUUCAAAAUUCCUGCCACAAAUUCCAAAGAGUUCCCAAAUCUCCUGAAUCAAAGACCUGACAAGAACAACAUGGAGGAGGAAAAUUUUAUUUGGGGGCUCAUGGCUUUAGAGGUUCAGUCCAGGGUUAUCUGACUUAAUAUUGUUUGACCUAAAGCAAAGCAGGACAUCAUGGCAGAAGGGCGUGGGAGAGGAAAGUAGGUCAGGACAUGGCACCAAGAGCAGAGAGAGCUCCACUCACCACAAACAGAAUAUAAACUCCAAAGCCAUGCCCAGUGACUCACCUCCUCCAGCUGCUCUUCACCUCCCUACAGUUACCGCCCAGUUAAUUCCUAUCAGUGACCAAUGCACUGAUUAAGCUAAAACUCUCAUAUCUCAAUCAUUUGACAUCUAAACUUUCUUGCAUUACAUGAGCUUUGGGGAGACACCUCAUAUCUAAACCAUAAAAGGAGUACUAUAGAUAUCUCUUGGAUGUAAUGAUUUCAUUUCCUGUGGAUAUUUUCCCAGGUGUGAUAUUGACAGAUCAUAUAAUAAUUCGAUUUUUAAUUUUUUAAACACACUCCAUACUUUUUUCCAUAAUGACUGUACUAAUUUACAUUCCCACUGAUUGUACAUAAGAGUUCCCCUUCAUCUGUCUCCUCACUAGCAUUUAUUUUGUGUCUUUUUAAUAAUAGCCAUUAAAACUGGAGUGAAAUAAUAUUUCAGUGUGGUUUUGAUGUGCAUUUCCCUGAUUAGAAAAUUGAACAUAUUUUUUCAUACACAUGUUGGCCCNACCUAGAAGGAUA
rnacentral:lncRNA from 1 species